rnacentral:rRNA from 1 species
CGAGAAAGCCCUUCGGGGUGAGUAGAGUGGCGCACGGGUGAGUAACACGUAGGUGACCUACCGAACUGUGGGGGAUAACCAGAAGAAAUUCUGGCUAAUACCGCAUACGUUGUACAAUUUUGAAAGUAGUACAAGAAAGAAUGCCUCUGUAUAUGCAUUCGCAGAUUGAUGGGCCUGCGGGACAUUAGCUUGAUGGUGGGGUAACGGCCUACCUUGGCGACGAUGUCUAGCGGAUCUGAGAGGAUGAUCCGUCACACUGGAACUGAGACACGGUCCAGACUCCUACGGGAGGCAGCAGUGGGGAAUAUUGCGCAAUGGGGGAAACCCUGACGCAGCAACGCCGCGUGAGUGAGGAAGGUUUUCGGAUCGUAAAGCUCUGUCGAAUGGGAAGAACUGCAUCUAUUCAAAUAGGGUAGGUGUUUGACGGUACCAUUAAAGGAAGCACCGGCUAACUUCGUGCCAGCAGCCGCGGUAAUACGAAGGGUGCGAGCGUUGUUCGGAUUUAUUGGGCGUAAAGCGCGCGCAGGCGGAUGUGCAAGUCAGAUGUGAAAUCUCGGGGCUCAACCCCGAAACUGCGUCUGAAACUGCUUAUCUAGAAUCUCGGAGAGGGAGGUGGAAUUUCGCAUGUAGGGGUAAAAUCCGUAGAGAUGCGAAGGAACACCAGAGGCGAAGGCGGCCUCCUGGACGAGUAUUGACGCUGAGGCGCGAAAGCGUGGGGAGCAAACAGGAUUAGAUACCCUGGUAGUCCACGCUGU